CUACUUCACUCCCUUUCCUCGUCUUCUUUGUUUUCCCAUUUCAUUCGAGGGUUUUUGAUUCUGCUAGUCUUCUUCUCUACUCAAUGGCGCGUGACCCGAAUGGCUCUGCUGGCGGCGGUGCCAGUAACAACUCCCAGCGUGAGGAGGCCACUCUGAAGGUACCAUCGAAGGACCCGAAGAAGAAGGACGAGAAGAAGGAAGAGGAUCUGUCGGAAGAGGAUCUGGCCUUGAAACAACAGUUGGAAUUGUACGUGGAG
rnacentral:misc_RNA from 1 species